rnacentral:rRNA from 1 species
UGCCAGCCGCCGCGGUAAUACGGAGGGUGCAAGCGUUGUUCGGAAUUAUUGGGCGUAAAGCGCGUGUAGGCGGUUCGUUAAGUCUGAUGUGAAAGCCCGGGGCUCAACCCCGGAAGUGCAUUGGAAACUGGCGAACUUGAGUACGGGAGAGGAAAGUGGAAUUCCGAGUGUAGGGGUGAAAUCCGUAGAUAUCAGGAGGAACACCGGUGGUGAAGACGGCUCUCUGGAUCGCCACUGACGCUGAGGGACGAAAGCUAGGGGAGCGAACAGGAUUAGAUA